rnacentral:rRNA from 1 species
AUGGCGCCGGUGGUUGCGCUGCUCAGUUUUGGCUUCUUCGAAAGAGGAUUCCUAGUGGUUGGGAGAUGCGUUGAGGUUGGCCUGCCAAUGUUAAUCCUCUUUGUUGUGCUUUCCCAGCCCGAACUGAAGUAUUUCGACAAUCCGGGCCUCAAACGGCCCUUCUCCCACUACUAUGUCGAUCUUGAACUGAUGCUGUUGUCACCUAUCUACCUCCUUCCUUGGUUGAUGAGGAUGUUGAUUUUACAAAAGGAUCUGUGA